rnacentral:rRNA from 1 species
GGAAAGGCGGGGCAGGAGGAGGUGGGAAUGGGUAGGGGGCAAGCGUGGUCCGGAGUUACGUGGCGUAAAGAGGGGGCAGGCGGGCGUGCAAGGGUGGGGGGAAAGACCCCGGCUCAACUGGGGAGGGUCACGCGAUACUGAUCGACGCGAAGGCAGGAGAGGGUAGUGGAAUUCCCGGUGUAGUGGUGAAAUGCGUAGAUAUCGGGAGGAACACCAGUGGCGAAGGCGACUACCUGGCCUGUUCUUGACGCUGAGGCGCGAAAGCUAGGGGAGCAAACGGGAUUAGAUACCCCAGUAGUC